UCCAAUGAUGCAGGACCUCCACUGUCAUGG
rnacentral:piRNA from 1 species